rnacentral:rRNA from 1 species
AACGAACGCUGGCGGCAUGCCUAACACAUGCAAGUCGAACGAACCGUCGGGGUGUUGGGGCCCACGGCGGUGUAACCGGUGGGAACCGUCCCUUGGGUUUGAAAUACCUCCCCGAAAGGGGUGCCAUCGCGGGACAAUGGCUACGACCGAAUGAUUUAUUGCCUUUGAUUGGGCCCGCGUGGAAUAAGGUAGUUGGUAGGGUAAAAGCUUACCAAGGCGACGAUCAAUAGCUGGGUUAAGAGAAUGGUCAGCCACACUUGGACUGGGACCCGGCCCAGACUCCUACGGGAGGCGGCAGUGGGGAAUAUUGGACCAUGGGCGGAAGCCUGAUCCAGCAAUGCCGCGUGAGUGAUGAAGGCCUUAGGGUUGUAAAGCUCUUUUACCCGGGAUGAUAAUGACAGUACCGGGAGAAUAAGCUCCGGCUAACUCCGUG